GGUUGAGAUCGCGGGUAGGAGAUUUGGAGUGGACGCCUUGGUUGGUCUUUCCUUCUUUAGCUGGAUUCUUCAAACUAGAUGCGGUUGAGAUCGCGGGUAAAAGAUUUGAAGUGGAUGCCUGCAUCAAUUUCGCAUAGAAUUAAGUAAUUGGUGUUAAAUAGAUGAGAUGGACAGAGAAAGCAAGUAUUGUUGUGAUUCAAUCUAGUAUUCCUUUCUCUAUACUUGUGUAAGUAUGUUAGUACUUUUUAAUACUGUAUUUUUCUAUUUCUUUCUCAUAUUGCAAGUAAGACGAGCAUGGUGUAUGCAAUGAAAAUAGUA
rnacentral:lncRNA from 1 species